rnacentral:rRNA from 1 species
AUUGAACGCUGGCGGCAGGCCUAACACAUGCAAGUCGAACGGAGUGGCGGACGGGUGAGUAAUGUCUGGGAAACUGCGUGAUGGAGGGGGAUAACGUCCGGAAACGGGCGCUAAUACCGCAUACUAUCAGAUGAGCCUAGGUGGGAGUAGCUAGGUGGGGGGGUAAAGGCCUACCAAGGCGACGAGCCGUAACUGGUCUGAGAGGAUGAGCAGCCACACUGGAACUGAGACACGGUCCAGACUCCUACGGGAGGCAGCAGUGGGGAAUAUUGGACAAUGGGCGAAAGCCUGAUCCAGCCAUGCCGCGUGUGUGAAGAAGGUCUUCGGAUUGUAAAGCACUUUAAGUUGGGAGGCGUUACCAACAGAAUAAGCACCGGCUAACUUCGUGCCAGCAGCCGCGGUAAUAC